rnacentral:rRNA from 1 species
GAUUAACGCGAAGAACCUUACCUACCCUUGACAUGUACGGAACCCUGCAGAGAUGUGGGGGUGCUUGAAAGAGAGCCGUAACACAGGUGCUGCAUGGCUGUCGUCAGCUCGUGUCGUGAGAUGUUGGGUUAAGUCCCGCAACGAGCGCAACCCUUGUCCCUAGUUGCUACGCAAGGGCACUCUAGGGAGACUGCCGGUGACAAACCGGAGGAAGGUGGGGAUGACGUCAAGUCCUCAUGGCCCUUAUGGGUAGGGCUUCACACGUCAUACAAUGGCCGGUACAGAGGGUUGCCAAAGCGCGAGCUGGAGCCAAUCCCCAUAAAAGCCGGUCGUAGUCCGGAUUGCAGUCUGCAACUCGACUGCAUGAAGUCGGAAUCGCUAGUAAUCGCGGAUCAGCAUGUCGCGGUGAAUACGUUCCCGGGCCUUGUACACACCGAAUCACUAGU